UUAGUUUAAUCCAUCCAAGGUUAAGGCAUCAUCUUCUUCUUCCAAUCAGAUUUCUGCCUUUCCACCGCUUCAUUCUUCACCGAUGUAUAUCAUCACGCGACUUCCAAUUCAUUCAACAUCAAAACCGCUCUUCGUAUUCUCCGGUCGUGAAGUCGGCAACACGAUGACUACUGUCACUCAUCAUCUUCGCACGUCUGCAAGUGCUGAGUUAAAAUUCUGCACUUGAAGCUAUCGAUUUUGAUUUUUCUGUAUUCUUCAAGCCUCCUACAAGCGAGUUGGACCACAGAGACCACUAUGCACCUCCCUCCCUGUGACGACAUCGGAAAGGAAAGCCAUCGCAGUAAACAUGGGUUUCCGUUAUCAGAAUCGAGGGCGGUUGUGGUGAUUGCUGUAGCGAUUAAUGGAGGCGGUGCAAAGGAUAUUGAACGGAACUCUGUAGGGUGAUGUCCAGUAUAAUGAACUGCUAGAAGAAUGUAAUGGCUGUUGAAUUCAAUUGACAAAUGGCACAGAGUUUUCUUGGUAUUUCAGAUUGGGUAUCCACCACUCUUAGAUGCAACAACACUUCUGUUUUGGACACAAGUAGCACAAGAAUAUGGUGAAGAAUUGAGCGACUUCUGACUCAGGUUACCAAAUUAGUUUAUAGUCAAUGGUAGAAAAUGCUAAUUUUGUUUUGAAAUACUUAAAAUGAAUCAAAUAAUCGGAAUUACCUUACAGGAAACACAACGGAUAAAACUAUUCAGAGGGAAAUGGGGUGUGUCAUUACUUAUAAUUGACACAAAGAAUUACCCCCGUCUUGCAAUUUUGGUUCUUAUAGAAGGUUUUAUAUUGAUUUUGGUCUUUUACUCAUUACCUUUCAAAAUCCUUUUGUUAAAUUUGUACAGAUGACCAUUUUGCCUUUUUUUUUGUUCUUGCGAUAUGUGAUUUUUCCUUCGUGCAGUAAAAAAAUAAAUCCUUUUGCCAUUUUUAUGGUUUCAGUACAAAAAGAAAGGCAAAAUGGUGAUUAUUAUUACUAUCAAUUGAACUUUUUGAACUUUGCUCAUUUUCUGUGUAUAUGGGGUUUCCUUUUGCCUUUUUUUUUUCCUUUUCCUUCAAAAUAUAGACAAAGAUAUUUCUUUAUAUAUCAUAAUUUAAUGCAAGGAAAGUAAAUGAGUUUGAUAAAAUUAGACAAACAUAUUUCUUUCUAUAUCGUAAUUUAAUGUAAGGAAAGUAAAUGAGUUUUGAUAAAAAUAAAAAAUUACAGGAAAAUAGGAAGUACCAAAAGCAUGGAUAACAAUCAAUUGAACUUUUAUCUUUUUCUGUGAAAGCAUGAAUACUUUUUGAACUUUUAUGUUUUAGGUUUUAGUCAUUUUAGAGCAGCAGCCGAACAAAAGUACAAAACUUGAAGAGGCAAAAUCAGACAACCAAUCCAUGGAAGACAACCUGGCAUUCAUGAGCGGAUCAAUCCAUAGGAGAAUUGCAACUUACAAAUGUCUUAUAAAAGAAGCAUGCACGGACUAGAUGAACUUUACCUUCUGAUUAAACUAAAAAAUAUACAAAAUGAAACAAAUAUAAAAAAUAGAAUGGUAAGAGAUAACACAAAGAUGUAGGAAUAAUAUUCUGGUAAUGUACGGAAACAAACAAAAAAAUAGAAAAGCUAAGGCAUGUGUUUAACACAUUGUCCAUCAAACAAAUUCGCCGGCUACCGAGUGUUUGUUUCCCAGGAUACAACAGUUUGAAGUGGUUCUUCUAGACCACCCAAACCCUCAAUAGGCCUGGAUUAUAUCCUUAAGAUAGCUAGAAAAAGAAGAAGAUGAAGUCGGGAAGAAAAGAGUUUUCUUACAUUCUUUUGGUGUACUCAAAUGGUUGUAGAGUAGUGAUAUUUAUACUAUACAUUCUAUAACAUUCCAUUUAAACAUGUCUAUUAAUCACAAA